rnacentral:rRNA from 1 species
AAAGUGGAGGCUAUUGUAACUGAAGAGAACUGGAAAGUUCCACCGUAGAAGGUAAUAGUCCUGUAAGUGAAACGAGAAGACCACGAGUUAUGAUCCAGAGUACCACGAGACACGUGAAACCUUGUGGGAAGCAGGGAGGACCACCUCCCAAGGCUAAAUACUACCUGAUGACCGAUAGUGAAGCAGUACCGUGAGGGAAAGGUGAAAAGAACCCCGGGAGGGGAGUGAAAUAGAACCUGAAACCGUGUGCCUACAACCGCUCAGAGCCCCUUAUGAGGGUGAUGAGGUGCUUUUUGUAGAACGAGCCAACGAGUUACGGUAUGUAGCAAGGUUAAGUACUUAAGGUACGGAGCCGAAGGGAAACCGAGUCUGAAUAGGGCGACUAGUUGCAUGCCGUAGACCCGAAACCGGGUGACCUAUCCAUGGCCAGGUUGAAGCGAGGGUAAAACCUCGUGGAGGACCGAACCACGUUGCUGUUGAAAAAGCAUGGGAUGAGCUGUGGAUAGCGGAGAAAUUCCAAUCGAACCCGGAGAUAGCUGGUUCUCUCCGAAAUAGCUUUAGGGCUAGCGUCGAGUAUGAGUAGUGGAGGUAGAGCACUGAAUGGGCUAGGGGGCAUAGCGCUUACCGAACCUUAUCAAACUCCGAAUGCCACAUACUUUGAGCUCGGCAGUCAGACUACGAAUGAUAAGAUCCGUGGUCAAAAGGGAAACAGCCCAGAUCGUCAGCUAAGGUCCCAAAGUGUAAGUUAAGUGGGAAAGGAUGUGAGAUUUCUAAGACAACUAGGAUGUUGGCUUAGAAGCAGCCAUUCAUUAAAAGAGUGCGUAAUAGCUCACUAGUCGAGAGAUCUUGCGCCGAAAAUGUAACGGGGCUAAACUUACCACCGAAGCUACGGGCUUGAACUUAGUUCAAGCGGUAGGAGAGCGUCGUAACCGGGCUGAAGUCGUACCGUAAGGAGCGGUGGACUGGUUACGAGUGAGAAUGUUGGCAUCAGUAGCGAGAUGUGGGUGAGAAUCCCACAGGCCGAAAACCUAAGGUUUCCUCAGGAAGGUUCGUCCGCUGAGGGUUAGUCGGGACCUAAGCCGAGGCCGAAAGGCGUAGGUGAUGGACAACUGGUUGAUAUUCCAGUACCACUACCAUCGUUAUUAUCGAUGGCGUGACGCAGGAGGAUAGUGUGUGCUAGCUAUUGGAUGCUAGUCUAAGCGUUUAGGCAGUGAGAGUAGGCAAAUCCGCUCUCAUAAUGCUGAGGCGUGAUGGGGAAGGUUCUACGGAACCGAAGUACAUGAUUCCACGCUGCCAAGAAAAGCGUCUAGAGAGAGAAGUAGUGCCCGUACCGCAAACCGACACAGGUAGGUGAGGAGAGAAUCCUAAGGCCGGCGGAAGAAUUACAGUUAAGGAACUCGGCAAAUUGACCCCGUAAGUUCGCGAGAAGGGGUGCCUACGAGAGUAGGCCGCAGAGAAUAGGCCCAAGCAACUGUUUAGCAAAAACACAGGUCUCUGCUAAAGCGUAAGCUGAUGUAUAG